rnacentral:rRNA from 1 species
GUGAGGAAUAUUGGACAAUGGGCGCAAGCCUGAUCCAGCCAUGCCGCGUGCAGGAAGACGCAUCUAUGGUGUGUAAACUGCUUUUGUACGGGAAGAAACACUCCCUCGUGAGGGAGCUUGACGGUACCGUAAGAAUAAGGAUCGGCUAACUCCGUGCCAGCAGCCGCGGUAAUACGGAGGAUCCAAGCGUUAUCCGGAAUCAUUGGGUUUAAAGGGUCCGUAGGCGGUUUAAUAAGUCAGUGGUGAAAGCCCAUCGCUCAACGAUGGAACGGCCAUUGAUACUGUUAGACUUGAAUUACAAGGAAGUAACUAGAAUAUGUAGUGUAGCGGUGAAAUGCUUAGAUAUUACAUGGAAUACCAAUUGCGAAGGCAGGUUACUACUUGUGGAUUGACGCUGAUGGACGAAAGCGUGGGGAGCGAACGGGAUUAGAUACCCCGGUAGUCC